rnacentral:rRNA from 1 species
UACGGAGGAUGCAAGCGUUAUCCGGAAUGAUUGGGCGUAAAGCGUCCGCAGGUGGCAGUUCAAGUCUGCUGUCAAAGACCGGGGCUUAACUUCGGAAAGGCAGUGGAAACUGAACAGCUAGAGUAUAGUAGGGGUAAAGGGAAUUUCCAGUGGAGCGGUGAAAUGCGUAGAGAUUGGAAAAGAACACCGAUGGCGAAGGCACUUUACUGGGCUAUUACUAACACUCAGAGACGAAAAGCUAGGGUAGCAAAUGGGG